CCUACGGGUGGCAGCAGUGAGGAAUAUUGGUCAAUGGGCGCAAGCCUGAACCAGCCAAGUCGCGUGAGGGAAGACGGCCCUACGGGUUGUAAACCUCUUUUGCCGGGGAGCAAGCCUGAGCACGUGUGCCCAGGCGGAGAGUACCCGGAGAAAAAGCAUCGGCUAACUCCGUGCCAGCAGCGGCGGUAAUACGGGGGAUGCGAGGGUUAUCGGGAUUUAUUGGGUUUAAAGGGUGCGCAGGCGGGCUGUUAAGCCGGCGGUAAAAAUUCAGGGCUCAACCCUGUCGAGCCGUCGGAACUGGCAGCCUUGAGUGGGCGAGAAGUAUGCGGAAUGCGUGGUGUAGCGGUGAAAUGCAUAGAUAUCACGCAGAACGCCGAUUGCGAAGGCAGCUUACCGGCGCUCAACUGACGCUGAGGCACGAAAGUGCGGGUAUCGAACAGGAUUAGAUACCCCUGUAGUC
rnacentral:rRNA from 1 species